GUCGAGAAUCUUUCACAAUGGGGGCAACCCUGAUGGAGCGACGCCGCGUGGAGGAUAAGGUCUUCGGAUUGUAAACUCCUGUCAUGCGUGAACAAGGUUGCUUGGUUAAUACCUGGGCAAAUUGAUGGUAACGCAAGAGGAAGAGACGGCUAACUCUGUGCCAGCAGCCGCGGUAAUACAGAGGUCUCAAGCGUUGUUCGGAAUCACUGGGCGUAAAGGGUGCGUAGGUGGCGUGGUAAGUCAGAUGUGAAAGCCCGGGGCUCAAACUCGGAACUGCAUCCGAUACUGCCAUGCUAGAGUACUGGAGAGGUGACUAGAAUUCUCGGUGUAGCAGUGAAAUGCGUAGAUAUCGAGAGGAAUACCAAAGGCGUAGGCAGGUCACUGGACAGUUACUGACACUGAGGCACGAAGGCCAGGGGAGCGAACGGGAUUAGAAACCCUGGUAGUCC
rnacentral:rRNA from 1 species